rnacentral:rRNA from 1 species
GACGAACGCUGGCGGCGUGCUUAACACAUGCAAGUCGAACGGUAAGGCCCUUCGGGGUACACGAGUGGCGAACGGGUGAGUAACACGUGGGUGAUCUGCCCUGCACUUUGGGAUAAGCCUGGGAAACUGGGUCUAAUACCGGAUAGGACCAUUGCCUGCAUGGGUGGUGGUGGAAAGCUUUUGGGGUGUGGGAUGGGGCCGCGGCCUAUCAGCUUGUUGGUGGGGUGAUGGCCUACCAAGGCGACGACGGGUAGCCGGGCUGGGAGGGUGACCGGCCACACUGGGACUGAGAUGCGGCCCAGACUCGUACGGGAGGCAGCAGUGGAGAAUAUUGCACAAUGGGCGCAAGCCUGAUGCAGCGACGCCGCGUGAGGGAUGACGGCCUUCGGGUUGUAAACCUCUUUCAGCACCGACGAAGCGCAGGUGACGGUAGGUGAAGAAGAAGGACCGGCCAACUACGUGCCAGCAGCCGCGGUAA